CCUAAUUACUAAGGAAGAUUGAAUCCUGAUUUGAUCAGAACUUGAGCUUAAUUAAUUUUUGAUUAGAUUAGGAUUUAAUUAAGUUGAUUUAGUUAGGUUCAAUUAUCUAAUUGGGUCUAGCUAGAUUGAAUUUGGAUAGAGACCUAAUUGGAUGAAGCAAUAGUCCAAAUGGAUUGGACUUCCUCCCUUUAUGCCACCUCAUCUCCAUGCCCCAUUUGUAUUCAUGCAAACUCAAAUUUUGCAUGAAUUUUUCUCAUGCCCAC
rnacentral:lncRNA from 1 species